rnacentral:rRNA from 1 species
GGCCGCGGGAAUUCGAUUGGAAGUAAAAGUCGUAACAAGGCUUCCAUAGGUGAACCUGCGGAAGGAUCAUUAAUGAAUUUGGAGGCUGUCGCUGGCUAGGUGAUUCUAGCAUGUGCA